rnacentral:tRNA from 3 species
AAAAGCCGGAAUAGCUCAGUUGGUAGAGCAGAGGACUGAAAAUCCUCGUG